GACUCUGGGAUAAGCGCUGGAAACGGCGUCUAAUACUGGAUACGAGUAGCGACCGCAUGGUCAGUUACUGGAAAGAUUUAUUGGUUGGGGAUGGGCUCGCGGCCUAUCAGCUUGUUGGUGAGGUAAUGGCUCACCAAGGCGUCGACGGGUAGCCGGCCUGAGAGGGUGACCGGCCACACUGGGACUGAGACACGGCCCAGACUCCUACGGGAGGCAGCAGUGGGGAAUAUUGCACAAUGGGCGCAAGCCUGAUGCAGCAACGCCGCGUGAGGGAUGACGGCCUUCGGGUUGUAAACCUCUUUUAGCAGGGAAGAAGCGAAAGUGACGGUACCUGCAGAAAAAGCGCCGGCUAACUACGUGCCAGCAGCCGCGGUAAUACGUAGGGCGCAAGCGUUAUCCGGAAUUAUUGGGCGUAAAGAGCUCGUAGGCGGUUUGUCGCGUCUGCUGUGAAAUCCGGAGGCUCAACCUCCGGCCUGCAGUGGGUACGGGCAGACUAGAGUGCGGUAGGGGAGAUUGGAAUUCCUGGUGUAGCGGUGGAAUGCGCAGAUAUCAGGAGGAACACCGAUGGCGAAGGCAGAUCUCUGGGCCGUAACUGACGCUGAGGAGCGAAAGGGUGGGGAGCAAACAGGCUUAGAUACCCUGGUAGUCCACCCCGUAAACGUUGGGAACUAGUUGUGGGGUCCAUUCCACGGAUUCCGUGACGCAGCUAACGCAUUAAGUUCCCCGCCUGGGGAGUACGGCCGCAAGGCUAAAACUCAAAGGAAUUGACGGGGACCCGCACAAGCGGCGGAGCAUGCGGAUUAAUUCGAUGCAACGCGAAGAACCUUACCAAGGCUUGACAUAUACGAGAACGGGCCAGAAAUGGUCAACUCUUUGGACACUCGUAAACAGGUGGUGCAUGGUUGUCGUCAGCUCGUGUCGUGAGAUGUUGGGUUAAGUCCCGCAACGAGCGCAACCCUCGUUCUAUGUUGCCAGCACGUAAUGGUGGGAACUCAUGGGAUACUGCCGGGGUCAACUCGGAGGAAGGUGGGGAUGACGUCAANUCAUCAUGCCCCUUAUGUCUUGGGCUUCACGCAUGCUACAAUGGCCGGUACAAAGGGCUGCAAUACCGCGAGGUGGAGCGAAUCCCAAAAAGCCGGUCCCAGUUCGGAUUGAGGUCCGCAACUCGACCUC
rnacentral:rRNA from 1 species